GCGGGUUGGUCACUUCUCGUGAGAUUUGGCAACGUUGCACCGACUGCCCCGAGUAUAUAUAAAGGACGGGGUGCGGUUGCCUCCAGUUUUGUUUUUGUUAGUUCGUCAGAGUGGUUGGUCGCAGGAUGAAGCUGGUAUUCGUCGUCCUCGCAGCGUUGGCAACAGUGCUCGGCCUCUUGCACUGUGCCACGGCCCUCCCCUACCCCCCCCCCCUCCCAGCGGCUGACCCCGAACCCCGCCGACCCAGCAAGCCCUUCUUUGACCCCAAGUUCAGCUACGGCUACCGCUCCAAGCCCUAUUACGGGGACUACCUGCCGACCUACCGGUGGUGAUGUGGUGAUGGGGAUGGUGACGUCGAGGCGGUGAUGGUGAUGGUGAUGAUGGUGACACCUUUGCACCUCUGGAGGAUUUGAGUGACCGGGCAUUACUUUUAUAAUCAUUGUUAUUAUUAAGGUUUCUUGUGGUGUUGAUGGUGGUGACUUCCCUCGCAAGGAUUUUUUUGUGAUCUGGCAUUACUUGUGUUACUAUUAUUAUUAAGGUUGAUUGGUGUUUCUGGAAUAAAUUUGUUUUUUGUUUUUAA